CGUAGGGGACGAGCGUUGUCCGGAUUCAUUGGGCGUAAAGCGCGCGUAGGCGGCUCGGAAAGUCGGGCGUGAAAUGCCGGGGCUCAACCCCGGGACUGCGUCCGAUACUUCCGAGCUGGAGGUAGGUAGGGGAGAUCGGAAUUCCUGGUGUAGCGGUGAAAUGCGCAGAUAUCAGGAGGAACACCGGUGGCGAAGGCGGAUCUCUGGGCCUUACCUGACGCUGAGGCGCGAAAGCUAGGGGAGCAAACAGGAUUAGAUACCCUGGUAGUCCUAGCCGUAAACGUUGGGUGCUAGGUGUGGGCGGACAUCGACCCCGUCCGUGCCGAAGCUAACGCAUUAAGCACCCCGCCUGGGGAGUACGGCCGCAAGGCUA
rnacentral:rRNA from 1 species